CCUACGGGAGGCUGCAGUGGGGAAUAUUGGACAAUGGGGGCAACCCUGAUCCAGCCAUGCCGCGUGUGUGAAGAAGGCCCUCGGGUUGUAAAGCACUUUCAGUGAGGAAGAACGCCUGGUGGUUAAUACCCAUCAGGAAAGACAUCACUCACAGAAGAAGCACCGGCUAACUCCGUGCCAGCAGCCGCGGUAAUACGGAGGGUGCGAGCGUUAAUCGGAAUUACUGGGCGUAAAGCGCGCGUAGGUGGCUUGAUAAGCCGGUUGUGAAAGCCCCGGGCUCAACCUGGGAACGGCAUCCGGAACUGUCAAGCUAGAGGGCAGGAGAGGAAGGUAGAAUUCCCGGUGUAGCGGUGAAAUGCGUAGAGAUCGGGAGGAAUACCAGUGGCGAAGGCGGCCUUCUGGACUGACACUGACACUGAGGUGCGAAAGCGUGGGUAGCAAACAGGAUUAGAUACCCGGGUAGUC
rnacentral:rRNA from 1 species